UCUUCUAUGGUGGAAUUGGUAGACACGGAAGACUCAAAAUCUUUUGCAAUUGCGUGCUGGUUCAAGUCCGGCUAGAAAAG